GAAUGCUGACAUAAGUAACGAUAAAGCGGGUGAAAAGCCCGCUCGCCGGAAGACCAAGGGUUCCUGUCCAACGUUAAUCGGGGCAGGGUGAGUCGACCCCUAAGGCGAGGCCGAAAGGCGUAGUCGAUGGGAAACGGGUUAAUAUUCCCGUACUUGGUGUUACUGCGAAGGGGGGACGGAGAAGGCUAUGUUGGCCGGGCGACGGUUGUCCCGGUUUAAGCGUGUAGGUGUGUGUUCCAGGUAAAUCCGGUUCACUUUAACACUGAGGCGUGAUGACGAGGCACUACGGUGCUGAAGCAACAAAUGCCCUGCUUCCAGGAAAAGCCUCUAAGCAUCAGGUAACACGAAAUCGUACCCCAAACCGACACAGGUGGUCAGGUAGAGAAUACCAAGGCGCUUGAGAGAACUCGGGUGAAGGAACUAGGCAAAAUGGUGCCGUAACUUCGGGAGAAGGCACGCUGACACGUAGGUGAAGUGAUUUACUCAUGGAGCUGAAGUCAGUCGAAGAUACCAGCUGGCUGCAACUGUUUAUUAAAAACACAGCACUGUGCAAACACGAAAGUGGACGUAUACGGUGUGACGCCUGCCCGGUGCCGGAAGGUUAAUUGAUGGGGUCAGCGCAAGCGAAGCUCCUGAUCGAAGCCCCGGUAAACGGCGGCCGUAACUAUAACGGUCCUAAGGUAGCGAAAUUCCUUGUCGGGUAAGUUCCGACCUGCACGAAUGGCGUAAUGAUGGCCAGGCUGUCUCCACCCGAGACUCAGUGAAAUUGAACUCGCUGUGAAGAUGCAGUGUACCCGCGGCAAGACGGAAAGACCCCGUGAACCUUUACUAUAGCUUGACACUGAACAUUGAGCCUUGAUGUGUAGGAUAGGUGGGAGGCUUUGAAGUGUGGACGCCAGUCUGCAUGGAGCCGACCUUGAAAUACCACCCUUUAAUGUUUGAUGUUCUAACGUGGACCCGUAAUCCGGGUUGCGGACAGUGUCUGGUGGGUAGUUUGACUGGGGCGGUCUCCUCCUAAAGAGUAACGGAGGAGCACGAAGGUUGGCUAAUCCUGGUCGGACAUCAGGAGGUUAGUGCAAUGGCAUAAGCCAGCUUGACUGCGAGCGUGACGGCGCGAGCAGGUGCGAAAGCAGGUCAUAGUGAUCCGGUGGUUCUGAAUGGAAGGGCCAUCGCUCAACGGAUAAAAGGUACUCCGGGGAUAACAGGCUGAUACCGCCCAAGAGUUCAUAUCGACGGCGGUGUUUGGCACCUCGAUGUCGGCUCAUCACAUCCUGGGGCUGAAGUAGGUCCCAAGGGUAUGGCUGUUCGCCAUUUAAAGUGGUACGCGAGCUGGGUUUAGAACGUCGUGAGACAGUUCGGUCCCUAUCUGCCGUGGGCGCUGGAGAACUGAGGGGGGCUGCUCCUAGUACGAGAGGACCGGAGUGGACGCAUCACUGGUGUUCGGGUUGUCAUGCCAAUGGCACUGCCCGGUAGCUAAAUG
rnacentral:rRNA from 1 species